AAUCUCUUUGAUAGUUAUUAUGGGGCGCCACUUUGAUUUGAUCAAUUUGGGCAUGUCUAUUGAUUAGAGGACCUUUUAUUUUUAUAUGGGGCAUCUCUUGGGUGUGUUUUGGGAUGUCUAAUUUUAGGUGCAAGGACUCCAAUUGUUGGCACCUAAUGGACUUCCUAAUGUAAGUUGGAUAACUUAAGUUAAUAGAAAUCCUAAUGCAAGUAAGACUUGUAUUAUAAGAUUGAAUAAGAUUCAAUCCUUAUGCCUAUUUAAAAGAACCUCCCCU
rnacentral:lncRNA from 1 species